rnacentral:rRNA from 1 species
ACAAGCGGUGGAGUAUGUGGUUUAAUUCGAUGCAACGCGAAGAACCUUACCUGGUCUUGACAUCCCGGAGACCCUUAGGAAACUAGGGGUGCUUCCAUCUGGAAGAAUCUGGAGACAGGUGCUGCAUGGCUGUCGUCAGCUCGUGUCGUGAGAUGUGGGUUAAGUCCCGCAACGAGCGCAACCCUUGCCUUUAGUUGCCAGCAGUUCGGCUGGGCACUCUAAAGGGACUGCCGGUGUUAAACCGGAGGAAGGUGGGGGAUGACGGUCAAGUCCUCAUGGCCUUUAUGACCAGGGCUACACACGUACUACAAUGGCCGAUACAAAGGGCAGCGACACUGCGAGGUGAAGCCAAUCCCGUAAAAUCGGUCUCAGUCCGGAUUGGAGUCUGCAACUCGACUCCAUGAAGUUGGAAUCGCUAGUAAUCGUGGAUCAGCAUGCCACGGUGAAUACGUUCCCGGGCCUU